rnacentral:rRNA from 1 species
UACGAAGGGGGCUAGCGUUGCUCGGAAUCACUGGACGUAAAGGGUGCGUAGGCGGGUCUUUAAGUCAGGGGUGAAAUCCUGGAGCUCAACUCCAGAACUGCCUUUGAUACUGAAGAUCUUGAGUUCGGGAGAGGUGAGUGGAACUGCGAGUGUAGAGGUGAAAUUCGUAGAUAUUCGCAAGAACACCAGUGGCGAAGGCGGCUCACUGGCCCGGUACUGACGCUGAGGUGCGAAAGCGUGGGGAGCAAACAGG